CCUACGGUGGGCAGCAGUGGGGAAUAUUGCACAAUGGGGGAAACCCUGAUGCAGCGACGCCGCGUGAAGGAAGAAGUAUUUCGGUAUGUAAACUUCUAUCAGCAGGGAAGAAAAUGACGGUACCUGACUAAGAAGCCCCGGCUAACUACGUGCCAGCAGCCGCGGUAAUACGUAGGGGGCAAGCGUUAUCCGGAUUUACUGGGUGUAAAGGGAGCGUAGGCGGCGAGGCAAGUAAGAAGUGAAAGCCCGGGGCUCAACUCCGGGACUGCAUUUGAAACUGGGUUGCUGGAUGGCAGGCGAGGUAAGUGGAAUUCGUGGUGUAGCGGUGAAAUGCGUAGAUAUUAGGAAGAACGCC
rnacentral:rRNA from 1 species